GUCGAUGUUGUGGCAGCCACAGCACAGCGUGCCUCUGCGGAUCAAAUCUUAAAUCUGGAACAUAUGCUGCAAUGUGAACGCCUAAUACCCAGGUAAAAUACCCAGGACUCUCCCUUUUUACAAAAUCUCCGACAUCUGCUGGCAGCUCCGCUUCAAGAACUUGAGGACAGCCUCCUUUGUGCUGUCGUUGCCCAUGUACUUCCAGACGAAGUGCUUGCGGAGCACCUCCAGGUACCUCAGGGCGGACUGGGCCAGCUCUUUUUCCUGGGCGACGAGUUUUCGCUCCAUAAUCUUGCCAUAAUGCUCGAUGGAGUCGGCGACAACAUUGUCGUACUUUACGCUAACUUCCUGCACCACCAGGUCGCGUUGUUUUUGCUUAUAGCCAUUGAUGGAGUCACGCAAUAGCGUAUCGAACAUCGUGUCAAGCUUCUCCACUUGCGCCAAAUCUUUCUCGUCCUGACCCAACGGACUGAACAAGGUCUUAAAGAAUUGGCUCUUCGCAUUGGCAUCUUCUUUGGUGCACAGCAGUUUGAGAGCCAUAGUGGCGGAGGAGGCGAGUAUUUGCAUAUCUUCUUCCGCAUCCCUCGUCUCCAUCUCCAUUUUCUUUAAUUUAUGUUUUCGCUGCUGAAGCUCGUCUUCAAGACCCUGCAGUUUCUUCAGCUCGCUGCGCAAAGCAGCACUUUCCUUUAACAAUUGCUGGUUGCGCUCAUGUAUAUCGCUGUCCAACUCGCUCAUCGAGAUGGUGCUCUUUUCUGGGCUGACCCCCGACUCCAGAUUGUCGUCAUCCACGUCAUUCGACUCUCUCAUCUCAUCGCUGCGCUUCAUUAGUGCGCGCAAAUCCAUGUGGAAGCUGGUUUGAUCCGUGAAGGUAUAGCCAAUGUUGCUUUUCCUGUUCAGCUGUGUGUGGAGCUGCAGCAGCAUCCAAUUGCGCUCGAACCUAACCUCGGGCGAGGCGUUAUGGAAGAUGUUUAACCAGCGAGUGCAUGUUGGAAAUAAUGAACAGUCGUUGAACUGUUUAAAUAAAUAUCAUCACAUUGGCCUUGAGUCAGUUCAAACUCUUGGAAAAAAUGGAAACAUGUUUGUUUUAUAUAUCUCGUCAGUCUGAAAUCAGGAGCAGUAGAGUGAACAUUGAAAUUUCUUGUUUAAAUUUUAGUGUUGUGUUUUUCGAUUCCAGUUAAAAAGUUCAUACCUUGGACUUUGUAGACUGUGCUGCGUCGGCUGUGGGUCCUGCGGACCCUGCGGCGGCCCCUGUUGCAGUCCUUGCUGUGGACCGCGUUGUGGAACAUCCUGCUGAGCGAUGGCCCAUGUUCGUCGAAUCUAAAAAGGUACUGCACCUUUCUGUUCUGCUGAUGAUGACAGCCAGUCAUUUUUGUCGGACCAGCGACGACUAGCGUUUCUCCUGCUUUUUGUGGAUCAAUCCUUGGCGAUGGCAGCCCUUCUUGAUGGCAGUUUUGUGCUUGCUCUUGUUUGCUCUUACGGUAUUUGCAUCAUCUUCAGACUGUGCUGCGUCGGCUGUGGGUCCUGCGGACCCUGCGGCGGCCCCUGUUGCAGUCCUUGCUGUGGACCGCGUUGUGGAACAUCCUGCUGAGCGAUGGCCCAUGUUCGUCGAAUCUAAAAAGGUACUGCACCUUUCUGUUCUGCUGAUGAUGACAGCCAGUCAUUUUUGUCGGACCAGCGACGACUAGCGUUUCUCCUGCUUUUUGUGGAUCAAUCCUUGGCGAUGGCAGCCCUUCUUGAUGGCAGUUUUGUGCUUGCUCUUGUUUGCUCUUACGGUAUUUGCAUCAUCUUCAGACUGUGCUGCGUCGGCUGUGGGUCCUGCGGACCCUGCGGCGGCCCCUGUUGCAGUCCUUGCUGUGGACCGCGUUGUGGAACAUCCUGCUGAGCGAUGGCCCAUGUUCGUCGAAUCUAAAAAGGUACUGCACCUUUCUGUUCUGCUGAUGAUGACAGCCAGUCAUUUUUGUCGGACCAGCGACGACUAGCGUUUCUCCUGCUUUUUGUGGAUCAAUCCUUGGCGAUGGCAGCCCUUCUUGAUGGCAGUUUUGUGCUUGCUCUUGUUUGCUCUUACGGUAUUUGCAUCAUCUUCAGACUGUGCUGCGUCGGCUGUGGGUCCUGCGGACCCUGCGGCGGCCCCUGUUGCAGUCCUUGCUGUGGACCGCGUUGUGGAACAUCCUGCUGAGCGAUGGCCCAUGUUCGUCGAAUCUAAAAAGGUACUGCACCUUUCUGUUCUGCUGAUGAUGACAGCCAGUCAUUUUUGUCGGACCAGCGACGACUAGCGUUUCUCCUGCUUUUUGUGGAUCAAUCCUUGGCGAUGGCAGCCCUUCUUGAUGGCAGUUUUGUGCUUGCUCUUGUUUGCUCUUACGGUAUUUGCAUCAUCUUCAGACUGUGCUGCGUCGGCUGUGGGUCCUGCGGACCCUGCGGCGGCCCCUGUUGCAGUCCUUGCUGUGGACCGCGUUGUGGAACAUCCUGCUGAGCGAUGGCCCAUGUUCGUCGAAUCUAAAAAGGUACUGCACCUUUCUGUUCUGCUGAUGAUGACAGCCAGUCAUUUUUGUCGGACCAGCGACGACUAGCGUUUCUCCUGCUUUUUGUGGAUCAAUCCUUGGCGAUGGCAGCCCUUCUUGAUGGCAGUUUUGUGCUUGCUCUUGUUUGCUCUUACGGUAUUUGCAUCAUCUUCAGGUGAUUUUUUAUUAAUGCCAACCAUUUUAGAGAUUUUUGUAAUAUGUAGUUUACGACAUAUUGCAAAAAUCUCUAAAAUGGAUGGCAUAAAAAAAAAAUCACCACAAGAUGUUGGAUAUUCCGUUACAGCAAGCAAAAGCAGGCCCAAUACUUCCAUCGAAGAGGAAUGCCACCGCCAAAGAUAGAUAAAAAGGAAGCAGGAGAGGAGCUACUGCCGGAGGCGCGACGCGAGUCCUCCGAGGCCGAGGAGACGGCGGCCGACGACUUGAUGAUGCGUGGUGGCUCCACGACCAGAUUGAGCCUACAGUAAGGGCGUUGCGAUCUGCACGCUUUCGAGUGGAGACUUUCGAGGCUUUGCUACGAGCCUUCUCCGACGCUUUUAUAUGACCACCUCCUCGGUGAUUUGCAGAAACUGGAUGCCGGCUGCCAAGAGUAAUAAAGCUGGAGUCAGACGAA